GGGGAUGUCCUUAGCUUUGACAGUUGGUUGAUGUGUAUUUUGGACUAGGAGGUUUCUAGGUUCCAUAUUCUAGACACUUUUCUUAAGUGCAAAAUUUAAAUCUGAAUCACUUCUUGCGUUUGCAGAAAAUAGAAUUUCUAAAUUCUUCAAUAUUCAAGAAGGUGUUCCACAAGCUGCAUAACCAUGAUCACAGUAUCAUAGUUACUAAAGCCGGAACUAUCCAAACUUUAUCGGUUGUACUUGAUCGGUAUUGCUUUGGCUUUAUAUUCUAAAACCCUUAAGUACCUGUUUAUUAGUUCUGGUAUGCGACUAAUAGACUGUAAAUCACAUACCAAUUACUCGAUGUUUGUAGAUUUUCUAUCGAGUCAAAAUCUUAAAAUCUGAUAUGUCUCUAGCCUGAAAAACUGAAAUACAUUGACUCCAAUUGGACGCGGGUGCGACUCCCGCCAUCUCCACCA
rnacentral:tmRNA from 1 species